rnacentral:sRNA from 1 species
GAUACCAGGGGCAAAAGGUCAUGCGUUUCAUGCUUGCAUGAAAAAGCAUGAGUUUGGGACCCGCAAAACAUGAGAAAGUAGCCCGAAUAGGGCGGAUUUCGAAUGUUUUAGAACUGCGUGAGCACAAAGUGCGUAGCAAUUCGUAGGUAUC